GUUCUCUGUCAUGGGUCACUGGGAGCGAAGAGCUUGGGGUAGGGCUGGCUCAAGGGCAGUCACCUGGGGUACAAUCUGUCUGGGUGAUGUGCCAAACAAAGGGAAAGAUUUUAAAAAGUCCAUGUGUUCUGUCCAUGGUAUUUGGCAUAUAUAUCUAAUCGCUUAACUAAUUUCUCAUAUUUUACACUAUUUAUAUAUGUUAAAACUGCAGUGAUCUCUAUAAAUCUCUGAAAUUCUAUACAAUUUAAAACUGUAUGAUACAUGUGAAAAAUAUUGUUUGUAAACACUUAAUUAACAAUACUGUAUUAUAAAACUUCACUCAAUUCAGUUCAAUUUAAAUGCUUCACUGGCAUGCUGCAUACUGCAAAAUACAUAUUGCCAAAGCAUAGUGAUAAAUGAUCAAUCAUAGUAACAAUACAUCAAAAAGAACAAAUAUACAAAGCUGCAACAAAAACAGUAUAAAUAACAGUAAUAUUAUAUUUAUUAACUGUUAAAUAUUAUGUGAUUCAGUUUAUUAUUAUGUUUCCAAUAUGCACUGAUGCAUUAUUGAUAGAUGUUAACUCAUUGUCCCUCAGAUUGUGGCACACCAAAACAUACAGUUUUGAGCUGGGAGUGAGGUUGUUGGUCAUUCCUGAAAGAACUCAGUUUUUGUUCACCUUCUCAGGGAGGGAAUUUUGUUUUGGAAUUUUGAUGCCUUAUUAAAGUAUGUUUUUCUUAUAUUUUAAUAUUUUUCUCAAUACAGAAGGAAGUGCAUCUCUGUAUCUACGUCUCCUGUCUUACAGUAAACACAUAUGUGUGAUUUGUGUAACCAUGUUUUUUUUGCAUCUACCUUUUUCAGUUGCUAAGGUGUGGUCACUGAGCCUAUGGUCUCUCUCUCUCUCUAUUUCUCUCAGUUAAACUGUUUGUCUCUUGGAGGAAAUCUGGCUUCAGUGUGGAGUGAAGAAGAUGAUCAGUUUCUUAAGGACCUCCAAAGGCAAACGGGCCAUGACAAACCAUUCUGCAUUGGUCUGUCUGACACACGGUAUUGUCAUAAUAAUCAGCACAAUUUGUAGAAUCUUCACUUUUUACAAUAUGGUAAACACAUCUUUUCUUUUGUUGUCAUAGGAGGGAGAGCAGUUUAUCUUGGGCAUGUGACCCAAAAAUUGUCCCAAUUAUCAGAAAAAUGGUACAAUCAGUGAUCAGUUGUGACCAUCAUUAAAGCAGUUGUUUGAGAUGGAACACUGAGCGGGAGGAAGGAAUGUCUGACUGGGUGCAACAGUACCCUCCUGGUAAACUGUGCACUGACAGAGUCAAUUUAGAGGUACAGUCAUGUUGUUCAUGGAAUAUGGCAGUCUGGUGGGAAAGAUCAAUUUGUUUGAGAGUAGAGAGAUCAGAAUACAUGAAACAUACAAUUAGAUUUAACAGCUGAAAAAAAAUGACAAAAAAUUGUUUUAACAGGCACACAGCACCACAUUGCUUCAAAGCAAUCUGCUUCAUUCAAGUUACUGAAAAAUGAACAACAUACAUUCCAAAAGAAACCAUCAUUAUGUUUGGCAUAAGACAAGGCACUGAUAUUGAUAUGAUAUAAGUUUUGCAACAGAGCUGAAGAAAUCAAGAAAAAAACAUUGUGCAGAAGGAAGUGUAUUCAUAAUGUUUGAAUCUUGCAUUUAUAUUUAAUCUGUGUCAGCCUUUCAAUGUUUAAGCCUACACUGCUGCAAACUAUUUAAUUGUAAUGAUCAGUGUUAUUUUUUUUAAAAACUAUUUUUGUCCAAGUCAUAGAAUUUACAUUUUGCUUAGAAAGAAGGAAGGUGACUGCUCAGCAGAAUAAAAUAUCUGCUGUCUGUGCUUCUAUGUACUGAAAGUAGAACCUGACAGUGUGGGAAUAUUACUGUCAAUUAUCACACAUGCUUAAUUAGUGGCGAUUAAGGAAGAUUACUUGGGAGGGGAAAUGACCUCUUGGUGAGUGAUGACUAUUGCAGGUGAGAAAACUACCCAAGAUAAGCUGUGUCCCUAGACAUAGCCUUUUCGUACUCAUCUGUGUGUGUGUGUGUGUGCCUGUGUCUGUGUCUGUGUAUGUUGUUUUGAUGCAUUAAUUGACUGAUAUUUUAUGUGUAUCUGAUUUUUUUUUUUUUAGACAAAUGUAUAUUGUGUUACUGCAUUUUCCUCUCCCUUGUUCAGGAGGGAACAUGGCUGUGGUUUGAUGGUAGUCGUGUGGAAUUUACAAGCUGGAAUUCUGAAGAACCCAACAACUUGAAUGGAGAGCACUGUGUUGUUGCAAACUAUGGAAAAGAGAAGGGUUGGAAUGAUGUGCCAUGUGACACAAGUACUCAUGCUUCCAUGUGUUCUUUGCGGUUGUUCUGAUUUGGGCCUGAGCCGAGGAUAAUCAGCUCACUGAUACCCUCUUUUAAUAAAGUUCUCCAAGCAUUCAA